rnacentral:lncRNA from 1 species
CAUUGCCAACCCUCCGGAAGCCUACCUUCUCCAUCACCAAUCCCACUUUCCUCCUCAAAGGCAAUGUGUAUCCUGACUUCUAACAUUAAAGAAGUUUUUGAACCAGAGAAGCACUAAAGGUUUAAAGCCAGAAGGAAAUCGGAUAACAUUUGUCCUUUGGAAAGCACUCCCUGGCUUGGGCAAGGGAAAGGCUGCAGGCAGAGAGUCUUCUACCCCCAACCCUGGAAGUCUUUUACUCAAACCAGUCACCCGGAAAAGCAAGCCUCCCACUGGUGCUUAAUUCGCUCAAGGAAAGAUUAGAGGAACCUGGUUAGCAAGCUUUGGAAGUUGCUCAUAAAAUUCAGCAGGAGCCUGCAAUCCUCAGAGACUUCUAUUUUUACCAAAAACACACACAGAGAAGUGGAGAAUUUUCAAAUGAAUUAGACAUGAGAUUGAUCUUUUUUAUACAAAAGAGGAGAGAAAAGCAACAGUGAUGCUGAGUUUGAACUACUCCCCGCAUCCCCCCACCUCCAGUUUCCAUAAGCUGCUUCAUCUCAUGGCCUCAGUCAGGCCUCAGCUCUGGCACUGACCCAGUCACAGACCAUGACAGGAGCCAGAGGCCACAAACACCUUGUGGUUUCACCAAGACAAUGAACAUAGUACACAAACAGACGCUGCUUCUACACAGAGAAGAAUUGGCCAAAAUGGCUCCGCCUGGCCUCACCUGAAUAAUCCAGAUGACUUAUACUCUAAGUGAUAAUUGAUGUUGAGGAGGCUUAAAAUAUAACAUGAUCUACCCUGGGCACCCACUUGGGCUUGAUGGGGCUUAUGUGACCUGUGGGCAAAUGAUGGCACCUCUCUGUAAAAUGCUCCACUUCUGUAAGAUGAUAAAUAAUGCCCGACUUACUUCUCUAGAGGGUUGUAAGGAUCAAAUGCAACUCAAUAAAAU